UUUAGAGGCUCUGGAAUCUUGUUCUGUGAUAGCAUAUACUCUAGCAUGGGCUGUCGGCUUAAGGAGUAGCGGCUCUUUCUUCUUGUUUAGUGGGCAGUCUCUGACUUUAUGAUCUAACUUUCCACAGGCAAAACAGGCUCCAGUCACCCGAAAACACUCACUUGUUUCAUGAUUAUGUCCACAUUUUGUACACGAUAGA
rnacentral:lncRNA from 1 species